rnacentral:rRNA from 1 species
GACGAACGCUGGCGGCGUGCUUAACACAUGCAAGUCGAACGGAAAGGCCCUGCUUUUGUGGGGUGCUCGAGUGGCGAACGGGUGAGUAACACGUGAGUAACCUGCCCUUGACUGUGGGAUAACUUCAGGAAACUGGGGCUAAUACCGGAUAGGAGCUCCUGCUGCAUGGUGGGGGUUGGAAAGUUUCGGCGGUUGGGGAUGGACUCGCGGCUUAUCAGCUUGUUGGUGGGGUAGUGGCUUACCAAGGCUUUGACGGGUAGCCGGCCUGAGAGGGUGACCGGCCACAUUGGGACAGAGAUACGGCCCAGACUCCUACGGGAGGCAGCAGUGGGGAAUAUUGCACAAUGGGCGGAAGCCUGAUGCAGCAACGCCGCGUGCGGGAUGACGGCCUUCGGGUUGUAAACCGCUUUCGCCUGUGACGAAGCGUGAGUGACGGUAAUGGGUAAAGAAGCACCGGCUAACUACGUG